rnacentral:rRNA from 1 species
AAUCAACGCUGGCGGCGUGCCUCAGACAUGCAAGUCGAACGAUUAAACUUUCCUUCGGGGAAGAUAUAAAGUGGCGCACGGGUGGGUAACACGUAAGUAAUCUACCUUCGAGUGGGGAAUAACAUCGGGAAACCGAUGCUAAUACCGCAUAACGCAGCGGCAUCUUAUGGUGACAGUUGUUAAAGGAGCAAUUCGCUUGAAGAGGAGCUUGCGGCAGAUUAGCUAGUCGGUAAGGUAAUGGCUUACCAAGGCUUCGAUCUGUAUCCGGUCUAAGAGGACGGUCGGACACACUGACACUGAAUAACGGGUCAGACUCCUACGGGAGGCAGCAGUCGGGAAUUUUGGGCAAUGGGCGAAAGCCUGACCAGCAACGCCGCGUGAAGGAUGAAGUAUUUCGGUAUGUAAACUUCGAAAGAAUGGGAAGAACUCAAUGACGGUACCAUUUAUAAGCUCCGGCUAACUACGUGCCAGCAGCCGCGGUAAUACGUAGGGAGCAAGCGUUGUUCGGAUUUACG